GGCAAUAAAACCACAGGUAGUCAAAGAAAUAUGCAAGCAUCCUUAGUUAGUGUAGAUUCAAGUUUGUUCAAAUCAUACCCUAGCUCUCCCUUUUAAGGAUUAUUUGGGACCACUAUUGAGUUUCAACUUUUCAAUAAUAAACUAAUUUAUGCUUUUUUCCUAGCCACAUUGCUCAGGUGAGCGAUGUGGCCCAUGGGCCUCUUGUUGUUUAUAUAGGCAAAUUAUGACAUAGAGCUGCUGUCUCUACAAGAGACCAUACAACAGAAGGUCGUGACCCUGCUGAGUGACCCAGACAACAGUGUUAAACAGACCCUACUGGAGAACGGAAUCACAAAGCUGUGUGUCUUCUUUGGCAGGCAGAAAGCCAAUGAUGUGUUGCUGUCUCACAUGAUUACUUUCCUCCAUGACAAG